CAAAAUGUAGCUUAAACUAGCAAAGCACCUCCCUUACACCGAGAAGAUACCCGUGCAAUCCGAGUCAUUUUGA
rnacentral:tRNA from 1 species